rnacentral:misc_RNA from 1 species
CCUGGAGGGGGAGGCCUGGGUGAGGCAGCCGGACGGCUCCGGCGGAAUUCGGAGCGUUCUGCUGGACGAAACUCUUGGAUGGAAGGAUCUCUUCUCGGAAACGAUUCUUCGGGCGCGCGUGGCGAAUGGAUUAAGAGACG